GACGAACGCUGGCGGCGUGCCUAAUACAGGCAAGUCGAACGCAGUGGGGACGGGUGAGUAACACGUGGGUAACCUCCCAUCAGAGGGGAUAACACUUGGAAACAGGUGCUAAACCGAUACUGAUGGAUGGACACGCGGUGCAUUAGCUAGUUGGGGAGGUAACGGCUCACCAAGGCCACGAUGCAUAGCUGACCGGAGAGGGUGAUCGGCCACACUGGGCCUGUGACACGGCCCAGACUCCUACGGGAGGCAGCAGUAGGGAAUCUUCGGCAAUGGACGAAAGUCUGACCGAGCAACGCCGCGUGAGUGAAGAAGGUUUUCGGAUCGUAAAACUCUGUUGUUAGAGAAGCGGUAUCUAACCAGAAAGCCACGGCUAACUACGUGCCAGCAGCCGCGGUAAUAC
rnacentral:rRNA from 1 species